UCUCGUUCAUAGGUCAGUAGCUGCUGGCGCAGAGCUUCUGGCAGGUGGGCCUUCGCAAACUCAGCAGCAGCCUGACAAUGGAGAGAAAAGGGAGACAGAAGAGAAAUUAGAUGGCUGCAGACACAGAGAAGGUCCAGAGCCCGUAUUCCCAGUCAGCGCAAGGUCACGGACAACAAAUGUCACCCGAUAUACUGCUGACAAGCCACUGAUCUGCAUCAUCAGAGAUUCAUUGAGCUCAGAUUUCAUCCCAGGUUGGAGAACGACUGAGAUCUGCAGAAAAUAAGAAAACAAGGAGAGCUUCCACAAACGGGAGGAAACCUGCAGUUGUACGUGAUGACUUCAGGUCCAGACAGAAACCUGCAGUGUGCUCCCAUGGUGAUGAGCCAGAGAUCACCCUGGACCUUUCCCCCCGUCCCAUUUCUGACUCGCGUUUCUUUUGUCUGAAGAUAAUCAGAGGAGACAUACUUUCAUCCAGUAGUCACCAUGUGGGAAGCCCGAGUCGACAAACUGGGCUCAAAGAUCAUUAACGGAGAAGAAAGUCUUUGGUCUUAUUGGACUUUUUCUUGUUCCAACUACCAAGGACUGACUGUACAUC